CGAGAUCUUAUAUGAAGAAUUGUGUGAGGUCGAUGGUGACAGCAACAUGCAUUUUAUGGCGCAGCAACAAGAUUCAGUGUGAUGGAUGCGGAAGGGCUGGCUUUUAGGGCUGAAGUGACCCGUCAGAUUUGGUUUUUGGUUUUCAGAGAUCUGGCACGUCAUUCACGUCAACGGCGCCUGAACCGGUAACAUGCUUCCUCCACCAUAUAUUUACCUUCGUCUUUGGCGGUGGGAGCUUCCGGAAGAGAGGUAUGACGUCUGGUGAAAA
rnacentral:lncRNA from 1 species